rnacentral:lncRNA from 1 species
UCACAUGUCUACUGUGGUCUGUUCAAAGGUCAGAACACACACAAGCCAUGAACUGGAUGAUGGAAGAGUUAGAUAAAUGGAUAUCAUCGAUCGUGUACAUUCAUCGUUAGGAUAGGAGUACAUGCCAAAGGAUUCAACUUGCCCUGCACUGCACAUACGGAGGAUCGAUCAGACGCCGCCCUCGCUCGCCGGCUUCGGUUCCGAUUGUUCCAGGGAAGAAUCGAGAACCAGAGCAGGAAAAGACAACGCCACGCGUGGCGCCGGCGGCGACGCCACAGCAUCUCCCUCCGGCUGCCCGCCCGACAUGGCCGACGCAUUGUCGUCGACGACGGCGACGAUAUGGAUGCGGAGCACUGAACCUCCUCCUGCUGCUGCUUGAGCUCUAGACAGCCUUGAUGACGACCAAUCGGAUGGACAUGGGAGCACGACGAAUUCGGCGGCGGCUACCUCCGUGUAUGUGUAUAUAUGCUGACAGAGAUUCAGGGACCCGUUCAUCUCAUGCGUCAUGCUGCCUAGCUACUCGCUCCGAUCAAGAGUGAGGCCGGCGUUCGCACUCACUCGAUUUAUAGCUGGUGAGAUCUUGGGGAGGACGACAGGACAGAGAGAUAGACACGGGGAUCGGAGUAGCUGGGGUGCAUCUGCUCCGGCGGCAUCUUCCAUGGAUAUGCUCGUCACAGGUAUAUGCUUCACAGUUCACUCCACCUCCUUUUAGUUAGCUGCAUGCUACCUUUUAUUUUCCUUCUUUCUUUCCCUCUCUGCUCUACUCUUGGCCAUCUUGGAUGGUGGAGCGCGGUGGCCAUUGGCUAGUGCUCUUCCUUUGGACCAAAGAUAUUUGUGCAUGACAUUACAUCGUUAAUAAAAGUCAUUACUGCUGGAAUAUAUAAGUGGAUUGUCUAUUUUAUACCAACAACUUAAGCUUUUCGAUUAGACUUACUCUAACAUAGUAUCAAACACGAAGUUCUCGAGUUCGAAUCAUAUUAAAAGACCUUCUGUCAAUAAGUUAAGCUUUUUGUGUUGAAUUAGUUACAUCCAUUCUAACAAUUAUAUACUACUUUAAAUAAUUAAAGUUAUAUUUCAUUAUUAUGAUAUUCAAAUAUUUAAUAUGACACGAACUAAACUUUAGUCAUGAGAACUAAAUGUAAACAUUUUCGUGGUGAAUAAGAGAGAGAGGGAGAGAUCUGUGGCCAUCCGAAGAAGUCUCAACUUAGUUUACUUUUCAGCAGUGUACAUAUCCAGCUCAAAACUAGCCAGCAAUGCAUGUGAGCUCCAGCCAGUGAGCGAGCAUGCGGAUCAGUCAGACAGCAAAUCGCCAACAGUAAUUCAGACACUAUCUUUUGCUAAGGAAAAAAACAUAUUAUUUCUCUUUCUGGAUCCAGGGGGUGUAUACAUGAGAUGCUUUACAAGAGCAGCAGACAGACAGGGUUUCCAGCAUUGAACUUCUUAUCAACAGCAUCCAUCCAUGAGCCAAUGGAA